UACGUAGGGUGCAAGCGUUGUCCGGAAUUAUUGGGCGUAAAGAGCUUGUAGGCGGUUUGUCGCGUCUGCUGUGAAAUUUCGGGGCUCAACCCCGAGCCUGCAGUCGAUACGGGCAAACUAGAGUGUGGUAGGGGAGACUGGAAUUCCUGGUGUAGCGGUGAAAUGCGCAGAUAUCAGGAGGAACACCGGUGGCGAAGGCGGGUCUCUGGGCAGUAACUGACGCUGAGGAGCGAAAGCGUGGGGAGCGAACAGG
rnacentral:rRNA from 1 species